CAGGGCCAGUGGCGUAAACCCGUCCGGAGAGAAGGAAUUGACGUCACUCUCGCGCGCGAGUUCCCGCACCCGAUCGGCCUGCCCGAUGGCGCAGGCGUCGCACAAACCGAGCUCCGCACCGUGCUCCACCAGUAGUUGAGCGAUAUCGGGUUUGCCGCUGUACAUGGCAAAAGAGACAGUGGAAACCCCGUUCUCAUUGCGCUCGGACGCAAGCGACGGCUCAGUCCUGACCAGCGACCUCACGCGAUCCGCGUCACCCGAUCGUACCGCAGCGAAGAGAUCUUCCAUGACGUGAAAUUAUAUGCGAAUGGGCCUGAGUGUAGAGUUUUAUUCUUCCAGGAGUGAGCUUGGGAAGUCGGCGGCCGCGCGCGCCGCAUCGAUAAUCCGGGAGGCUGUUGCCACCAACGGAAGCGCCCGCGCCAUAGUGGCGACAGGGAACUCGCAAAUCGACUUUAGUGAAGC
rnacentral:misc_RNA from 1 species